UACGUAGGGGGCAAGCGUUGUCCGGAAUCAUUGGGCGUAAAGCGCGUGUAGGCGGCUCGGUAAGUCCGCUCUGAAAGUCCAAGGCUCAACCUUGGGAUGCGGGUGGAUACUGCCGGGCUCGAGUCCGGAAGAGGCGAGUGGAAUUCCUGGUGUAGCGGUGAAAUGCGCAGAUAUCAGGAAGAACACCCGUGGCUAAGGCGGCUCUCUAGUACGGUACUGACGCUGAGACGCGAAAGCGUGGGGAGCGAACAGG
rnacentral:rRNA from 1 species